CUUUUGCUUAUCAAUCACAUUCUAUUAUAUCUGAAAUGAUUAUGAUUCAAUUAAUGUCAUAUCAGAGAGCACACAAUGUUUCAAUUUGUCACUUUGUGCUCAAAGGUCAAUGCCUGUCUAGCCUGCCAGAAGUUUGAGAGGGUGAAGACUGUGGCGCCGGAGUUGAAGCCCAUUUUUUGUUUCACCAUGUUACAUGAUUGGUAAGUGACACUAUAAACAUUUUGCCUUGAUAAGUUGUUUUGUAAUGGCUGCUUUAUUUGACCAGUGCAGAGUUCAAUAUUAUAUCAUGUGUGUGUCAGUAUCAUUACAAGUAUGAAAAUCUGCAUACUGUGUGACACAAAUGCCAGUCAAAAUGAAGUAAUCUUCUCUCUAACACUUUAAAUGUUAGGGGUGGACCUCAUUUGACCCUUCACGAAAUCCAGGAAUGGCAACAGCUGGUGUCUGACGGCAGUAAAAGAAGAGAAUGUGCUCAACUUAAAUUCCCUUCUUUAAUCCAUUAAAAAGGGUGCUUAGAACCAAACAUGCAUUUUCGUUUUGUAUAAUACCCAUCAAGGACAUGUCCAUCACCUCCAAGGUGUUGAUGGACAUCUUCAACACCCAUGGUUUUCCUGAGGUCAUCUUGAGCAACCAAGAUCGUGAACUCUGGAACAAGGUACGGACGUUAUAGGUUAUAUUUUCUCAUCAAUGUUUUUUUUUUUUUUUUUUUUUUUUUACAAUAGUUUUUUUUUUCCAUGGUACAUAGUCAGACAUUGAAAUAUCUUCUAUAGUCAAUACAUAUCACUUUCCUGGGGUCACGUUAAGUGACCUCUGCUGCCAGGUAGGUACUGUUACGUUGUAUGACCCCCAGUGGUCAUGACACCAUCCCAGAGUUUCUCUCACAACUCAUCUCGCUCUGAUUUAUUCCAGGGACCAUACAUUACCUCCCUUAUCAACCCUAGUGACAUAAAAAAAAUUACAGACAGGUGUCCAUUAUUUUCUGUCUUUGCAUGUGUAUUUGAACAUUUCAUUUCAAUUUAAAUCUUUCAAUAACUGUAUUUUUACCAGAGGUGUGGACUCGAGUCACAUGACUUGGACUCGAGUCACAAAUAUGAUGACUUGCACCUCCACUUUGACUUUAACACCAAUGGCUCGUGACGACUUGGACUUGAGCCUUCUGACUCGACAAAGCACAAAUAUUUAAAAUGAUGCUAUUUACAAAAGGAUGCAGCGCAUCAACUCUUCAUUUAACGGAUUACAGUUUGAAUCGGACAGCAGCCAAUCAAAUUGUGCCAGCUGAGAAAAAGUUGUGCAUGGCAGUGCAGAGCAACGUCGGCGAGUGAAUUCAGAUGGUGCCCUUGGAAAGACGACACCCAAAAUUAUUAUUUUUCAGAUAUAAAGAUGAUGCUGUAUCAACAAAAAAAAC
ensembl:lncRNA